UGGGGAAUAUUGCACAAUGGGCGGAAGCCUGAUGCAGCGACGCCGCGUGAGGGAUGACGGCCUUCGGGUUGUAAACCUCUUUCAGUAGGGACGAAGCGUAAGUGACGGUACCUGCAGAAGAAGCACCGGCUAACUACGUGCCAGCAGCCGCGGUAAUACGUAGGUGGCAAGCGUUGUCCGGAAUUAUUGGGCGUAAAGCGCGCGCAGGUGGUUUAGAAAGUCUGAUGUGAAAGCCCACGGCUCAACCGUGGAGGGUCAUUGGAAACUAAUAAACUUGAGUGCAGGAGAGAAAAGUGGAAUUCCUAGUGUAGCGGUGAAAUGCGUAGAGAUUAGGAGGAACACCGGUGGCGAAAGCGGCUUUUUGGCCUGCAACUGACACUGAGGCGCGAAAGCGUGGGGAGCAAACAGG
rnacentral:rRNA from 1 species